AAGACAUACAGUUACAAUGGGAACAUAUUUUGUAUCAGUAGACAUUUCAUUUCCCUUGAACUAGAAACAUAAACUAGUGUUUGAUGUGAGGAAAUAAAGAAAUCAAGAAUGAGGCAAGUACUUGAUAUGCUUCACUUCAACUUUGAAUCAGUUUUAUAUGCCAGAGUGAUAGUAAAUACUGUGGACCCUGGCUCAACAUCAGUUCUGAAACACCUGCUGUGUCAGUGCCAGACUGUGACCCCCACACACAACCCCCUCCCAAGCUUGAGCUGGAUGAUCAAGUCUCCAACACUGGAGCUACAUGUCUUGCUCUUCUACAAUUAUAUCUUCCUGCCAGUGAACUGAGAACUGCCCACCCGCUGAGCUCCUGGAGAGCCUACUUUGCAACUCAAUCUAACUGAACCAAGCAACAGAUCCCAGUUCUCUUUUCAGGAACCCAGUAACCAGUGGCUGCUAUCGGGUAUAGUUGUCACUGGAACAAGAGUCCUGAAUAUGGAAAGAAUGACUCAAGGACACUGUCUUGGUGGGGCUCCACAGAAAACGGAAGAUGGUAUUCAGCAUGGACUCUCCUUGGACCUUUAAGUAUUUAUCCUGGAGACCACCACCAGUGUUAGCUAGGGCACAGAGUCGGGUGACACCCACCAGCUACCCACGACACCCGCCACAGUAUCUUAAGACUUCUGGUGAGUGGAACACAGCGUCUGCUCCAAUCCAAUCGUGCCAGACCUGAGGCUGCAUUAGUUAGUGAAGCAGAAAACCUGGCCUGAGUAGGGCACAAGCCCCUUCCCGU